UCUCGGGAGGAGGGGGGCCGGGAGAGGGCCAUGGGCCAGAGGGUGGUUGCUGAAACGGGCAAAGAAUCCCUGAGCCGGGACGAGCCUCCGCAGGUUCCCAGCCCCCUCGCUGUUUACAGCAGGAGAAAAUGUGGUCCAGAAUUAAAGACACACCCAUGGCCACACAGACGGUGGGAGCAGACGCCCCAUCUCCCCUCCCGACCCCCUGCAGAGACCCCAGGCCCGGGUCCGAGGUGGCGAGCACACGCAGGUUUUAUCUUUGCAUGGCACCUUCAAAAACAGCCACCUUGAGGCCAGGGGUCCCGGUCACCUCUCUAGGUGUCACGAAGCAUUCACAAGGACACAGACCUCUGACAGCUACUCCGGAUGGCUGCCCAGGUCCUGCCUUUGCCCAUGAGUCAAACAUGUCCUAGCCAAGCCUGGCACAGCUGAGCCCACCCUGUACCCAACCUAGUCCAGUCUCAGCCGACCUCAG